rnacentral:lncRNA from 1 species
CUCCACCUCAUCUUGUCUCAUGGUUCUCCUCUGCUCCUGUGCUUGUAAAGCAUUAAUUAAUUCUCCCAAGGUAAUGGUUGACAGGUCUUUUGACUCCUCCCACGCUCACUACCAAGAAGUCUCACUUUAUUUGCUAUGCUUAACAAUCUGUCAGCAUAGCCCUUGAUGGUUUCAUUAUCUUUCAUGUUCUGCAUCUCGAAUUCCCUGCCAAGGUUGAGAACUUGCAUGCCUUUAGUUCUUUCAGAACUUUUAUAUUUUGCUUUGAGAUAUUUCCAAAUUUCUUUGGCGGAUUUCAGAUUCAUUAUUCGUGUGAAUAUGAUCUUGGACACGGAAGAAAAUAGACAAUUAUUUUUGCCUUAGCCUUUUUUGUCUUCUUUUGUUUGUGAUUCUUCAUCUGAGCCACCGUAGGAUUCUCAGGUAGUUCAGGAACAUCAUAGUCUUCUUCUACCGCUUCCCAAAGAGCUAGAGCUUCAAGAUGAGGAGUCAUUCUUGCAGCCCAUAACUCGUACUCCGCGUCAUCAAAGGAUGGUGGUUGACCCACUAUGUAUGAUGAUGAUGAUGCAUCUCCUUCCAUUAGGUUUUUCUUUUGACUCACAGGUCCCUUAAGGAUAAGAGCUCUGAUGCCACUUGUUGGGUAUUUUUAUACGUAUAAAUGUAUUUGAAGGAGAUUAUUUUAUUCAUCAUUGUGAGGUUGUGAGCUCUAUAUAUAUAGAGCAAUUACAUAACAGAAAAAUAACAAACUUACUCAUAAACUGAUCUGAUUCUUAAAAUCAAGUGAUAUUGAUUUUAGAAACAACUAAUAUUAUCUUAAUCUUAUUCUAAUUUGAAAAUAAUCUAAAUAAUAUCUUAAAACAAAAUUUAAAUCCUAACUAAUUAUCUCCUCUUAAUUUCAGCUAUUAUAGGCAUAUUCUCAACAAGGAGGGGUGUUCAAUCUGUAAGGAAAGUUGCCGGACUAAAAAAACACUAAUAAAAAAUUUACAUUUACUUCAUCCCAAUGAGAUUAGUGCGGGUUCGAACACUGAGUCUGUCACGUAUGAGAUUCUGUCAUACUCUACUAGACCAAGCCUAACUUGAAAAUAGGUAAUUGCUUCCCUUGCAAAUAGUUGGUUGUCAAUCCCAUCACAUUAUUAACCACACCAUAUUUUCUCUCAUCGACAUUCAUAUAAGCAUUCACCUUAACUUAAUUGGUAUGAGCCGGUAGACAUAUGAGUUAGGGAGUGGGGGUCUAGGAAUCAACCCCGGAGGAAUGUAGUUUAUCUUUCCAAUUUAAAAAAAAAAUUGAAGUACAUCAAAUAUAUUUUCUUAAAUUCAAUCAAAUCAUUGGUCUACUACUGCUGCUAUAUAUGCUGUAAAAACCCAAAGUAUUAAUACAGUCAUCAUAGUGAAAGCAGCAAAAACAACAGCAGUAGAAAUAGAAAACAGUAGAAACAGCAGAAAAUUAACAGCAUAGCAACAGUAGUAAACCAGCAUCAACAACUUAAAAAAUAUGUUACACUUAUUUAUUUAAGAAACACAGCGGUUGAUAAUUCGUCGCUACUUUUGUGACGAAAGUUUCCGUCACUAUAAAUUAUAUAAAAUUUUAAAAACAUCAUAAAAAAUGUAGCAAGAGCAGAUUCAAACCUAGGCUCCAAGGGAGGAGAGGUCCAAACCAGGCUUAAUGUUGCCAACAGGACUAACAUCUCUUCCUUUAAUAAUUUACAGUUUUUUUAUUAUAAACGUUUAAUGAAUUUUUUUUUGAGGCCCCUUCUUUUUGGAGGCCCUGGGCUGUGGGCCUGCUUGCACAGGCCCAGGGCCGGCCCUGCUAAUCUAGACAUAUCUUUCGCAUGAUAUUGCUACCUCCUCUAGAUGUAUUCCCCUACCUUAUAUCGGAAAAAAAAACUCUUAAAGUUCGAAUCAAACUUUGAAUUUAUGAACAAAAAACAAAUAACAACAUUUAGAGAAUUGUUCAUCAGUAACUUACCCCUUUAUGAAGAUACACAAUAGGUUUUGAAGUUCAAAAAAAAGGACUUAUGCAAAGUUAUAUUACAAUCAUUGUCUGUGGUGCUUGAACUUGAUAUUACAAUCAUUGCAUUUUUGUACUGCUCACUUGAUUAUGGGGAACCAUCCUUGUCUGUGGUGCUUGAACUUGUUUUGGACGAAUUGUUGGAAGACAUGUAUGAACAUUGUAAUGGUGAUCUUUCAGGAGACUGUAAGAUAGGCUUUGGAGGAUAUGGUAUUGAUUGAAGUGACCCUUCUAACAUUUUUAUUACCUUUUUCAUUGAUGGUCGAUCAGAUGGAUACAUUUGAAUGCACCAUAGACUCACACCAGAGUAAUCUUUCUAACCAUGUCAUCUUCUUCCCUUGAGAUAUCCAAACAAUUUGCAAGAUUAUUAUCUUGCUCAAGAUCAUUAUAAAUCCAGUCUGGAAAGUACAUUUCAGUGGUACGUGAGCUUCCAGUUUCAUGAUUCUUUCUUGCUCCAAUAGUUUCAAGAAUCAACAUGCCAUAACUAUAUACAUCAGACUUGUGAGAAACUCUACCGAAUGCUCGGUUUGAUACUUCUGGUGCUAUGUAUCCUAUAGUUCCUCUUGGGCUCAAUAUGGACACAGUACUCUCCUUCUUUUGGCAUAUUUUAGCUAGUCCAAAAUCAGAAAUUUUUGGGCAAAAGUCUUCGUCCAAAAGAAUGUUUUGAGGUUUCAUAUCAAGAAUUCAAGAUGUAAAAUCCUUGGAAUACAAUUUUGAUGCAAGUAUUCUAGUCCUUGAGCAAUGCCAAUUGCAAUUUGGUACAAUGUAUUCCAAUCCAAAUUACAUGUAGAAUUUGGAAAUCCACUUGUAUAGAUGAACUUUUCCAAUGAGCUAGCUAUUUGAAGUAAUAAAGAAAUAGAAUAAAACUUAAUAUGUGCAGUUUUUUUUUCUAUUUGUGCUGCUAAAUUGCUAAUCAAUAAAAGAUUCAGCAAACCACUUAUUUAAUUAUGAUAAUUUUCAGUUUAGGUCUCAUAUAUCAAAUAGGAAAAUAUUAAAAAAGCUGCUCAAACCACAAAUUGAUGAACCUAAUUUUUAUCCUAAAAAAUAACAUUGAUUAGAAUUUGAUUAAUUUAAUAAUUGUAUUGUGAUUUACUCACGCUUGGCCGGCCCAUGAGCGAUGGGGCGUGGUCAAAUUUGAGUUCUGACCUCUGAGUUCUUACACAUUUUUGAAAGAAAGAAAAGAUAAUGAUAUAAAAAUUCCACCAUGUUUACAUAUAAAAAUUACACUAAAAUUUAUAUAAUGUUUUAAUUUUAAUUUCUAAAAUAUGAAUGUCGGUUAGUAAAUAAUUAAAAAAAUAAUUGAAACUCGUUUUUAUUUAUAUUUUGAUAUGGAAGUUACCCAACAGGUGACGGUUGGUAAAAAGUGGUUGCUUAAACCUCAAUAUCGCUAGUUCGAUUCUUAGGAGCUGCACUCUUGAGGUAAACUUUGGCCUUCAUCGUCAAUAGUUCUUAUAAGCUUCUCAAACUCUCACCUAACUCAAAUAAUUGUCGUCACCCUCUUCCUUAACCGCCCCGCCUCCACCUUUCUUCCCCGCCACAUGUCUCUUCUCCUUGCUUCACAUAUCCUCCCCUCGGCGUGCCACCUCUUUGCCGCUCCCUGAUCCCUCCUCACCUAGCCUGAAACCUUCUGCUCUUCCCGCCCCUGCGCCACCUAUAUGCCAACUAGUGGUGGUUGAUCUACAAUGAGAGCUCUCACCAACAACUAAUAGGUCCAGGUGCAUGGACUAAAACCAAGGGAGGCUUUCGUUCAGGUUCUGGGAAAGUUCUGCACAUGAUUGCUCAUUUGCUGUGAGGCUCCAAGGGAACUCGUCACUCUUUCGAAAGUGUUAAGAUGAACCCAAGGGUAUGUCUUCCCGUGUAACACUCAAAUACUCAAUUGCGGGCCCUUUGCGAAACUAGUCAUUCCGAGGUGGAACAUGAUAUCUUAGUUCCUUAAUGCGCCUCUGAAUUGUUGCAUCAUUUGGCUGAAUCGGCAAGGGUUGUGUUGGGAUGACAACGAUCCCCUGAAGCUUGAGCAUAGAUGGUACGGGAGAGGCCACAUUGGGUGGUUGAGCGGGUGUGGGCUGCGCAGAGUUAUUGCCAGCCGGGAAAGAGACGAUGAUGACCUUUUGGUUGUGUUCUCUUUCACACUAUGCAAUUGUUCCUUUAGCAUAAUUUUGAUAAGAUCCUCGCGAAGGGAAAUACUAAAUAGCAUACAACCUCAUUUUCUUCAUAGGUAGUUGAUUUUGUGUUAGAAUUGGUUGUUUAACUUCCAUCUCCACGUGAUUUUUUGAUUGGAUUGUUAUUAUACAAUUGUAAUAGAUCGCCCAUCCUAAGAGGGAGUACAAUUCGUUUGUUGCCUUCUUGUGUUUGUCAUAUUAGAGACGGAUGAGAAUGCAGUUUAUCAAUUUUUCACAGACGACACCAAUUCAAUGUUCAGGUAAGGGAAACUGAACUUAAGUAUAUGAGCAGGCAAAAUGAGAAAGCUGCUUCGUUGGGUUGCUUUUCCGCAUAAAGGCCUCGUUCUUCUCGUAGAUGACGUAGUAAAUGUUGGAAGGCCUAACUCAACCCAAAAGUUAGCUUAAGAGUUAAGGUUUGCACAACCAUAUAUAAGCAAUUGCUUGACCACAUCUCUAGCCAAUGUGAGACUCUAACACACCCCUUCACGCCCAGUGUAGAACAUCUGGAGCGUGGAAUGAAACGGGUGACCCAAAUAUGGGGAGUCAACAAAUGGAUCUAGGAUACGGGCUCAGGUCCAUGGUCAAACAACCAUCGGCUCAGAUACCAUGUUGAACAACCACUUAAUCCCAAAAGCUUAAGCUCAAGAGUUAAGAUUUACACAACCAUAUAUAAGCAAUUGCUUGACCACAUCUCUAGCCAAUAUAGGACCCUUCUAACAGUAAAUAUUAUUUAAGUUGUGGAUAUUCGUUCUCAUAAGCAUAGCAGUUAGUUAAUUUUUUUUUUGAAGGUAGCAGUUAAUUAGUUAAUGUUGAGGCAAGGCACAUGAAUGAACUAUCAUGUUAUUUGUCAAUAAAUAUGAUAAGUGAUACAGAAAAAAUAUUAACACAUAGAAAUGAAGAGGAGGUGAAAAUAGUAUUGAAUUUUAUUGAAUGUGUAAGUACAAAAUAUUAAGAUCUAGAAAUAAAUGUAUGUAAGUAAAAAAUGUGGUUUGAAAAAUUUAGGUUUAAAAGCAUUUCAUGCCCCUGAUGUAUCACGUUUGUGUAAAUGUCGUUUCUACUCUUUUUUCGUAUAUGUUUAUAUCUUCCAUGUUUCUCAAAAGUGCAACGAAUGCUUCUCUGUCACUCUGACGUUAAAAUACUAACGAAAGGGGCUUACGUGACACUACUUUAGUGACGAGACAAAUGGGAAAAAAGGGUGGGAAGGAUUAGAACUCGGGUCUAGUAAGUAGCAAAACAUGCACUUAACCAGUUGAGCUACAUACAGAUUAAAUGCAUGUAGCUCAACUAGUUAAGUGCAUGUUUUGCUACUUACAAGUCCUAGGUUCGAAUCAUUCCCGCCCCUUAUUCUCAUUUCUGAAUUUUGAUAAUGAUGUCACAUGGCCUGCCUCGUCACUAAAGUAGUGUCACGUAAGCCAAUUUCGUUAGUUUUUUAACGUCAGAGUGACGGAGGGACAUUCGUUGCACUUUUGAGAAACAUAGAGGGUAUAGACAUAGAAAAAAAAGAGUUGAGACGAUAUUUGCACAAACUUAAUAUAUUAGGGACAUGAAAUGCUUUUAAGUCAAAAAUUUAUUGUUCUUUAUUGAAUUUUAUAUGUUGCAAGCAUUUUGAAAUUCUCUCAAAGGAACACUACUAUGAAUUAUGAUGAUGAGAACAAACUGACGACCAUGAUGCUGUGAUGGAUAAGAUAACUAUGAUGAGAACAAUAUUUAUUAUGAUGAGAACGAUGAAAAUGAUAUUUUAUUAAGAUGAGAACAAUAACAUACCAUAUAAAUUAUGCUGAGGUACAAUAUUAUUUUUUAAUAAUAUUUUGAGAUAAGAAAAGAAAUGAAUGAAAUGAGUAAUAUGAAUUUAAUAGAAAAUAAAGAUAGAAAAUAGAAGAAAAAAAAAGUGAAUGAUAUUAAGAUAAAAGAAAAAGUAUAUGGGAAUGAAUUAUCACUCAUCAUGUUCAUUUUAUCACUCAUCAUGUUCUUUUUUACUGCAAACUAGUGAGUGCACACUUUCCCAAUUUGUCUCAAUUAGGACUUUUUCUUUAUCCAACCCAUAUGAAACUACCACGUGUUUUGGUCUUUGGCAAUAUAAUAAUGAGAAAUGCCAUAUGAAUAAUGAAUAUAAAUGACUAUGAAAGUGAAGAGAAUGCGCGUGGCGGCUAAUUGAACCUAAAAGGCCAAAAGAUAUAUGUUACUCUUCAAAGUUCAAACUUGGUGAUCUGUUCUUAAAUAGCAUAUAGAAGUGUUCCAUUUAAUUAAACUUUCACCAAACACAAUGUAAAUUGCACAUCAAACACACUCCACACAUAGCCGGCCCCAUUACCACUAAUAAUAAUUUUUGUCGUAUCACUUUCAAUGAUCAUAUGUAGCUCCGUUUAAUUUUUGGGUGACUUUAUAUGACUUGUGAGGACAGAUUCUCAUUUCAUUUUCAUUUAAAAAAUGAAUCCGUGAUAAAGUCGUCAUGCCCUUUUAAUUUUGUGAGUUUUGUUAUGGUUGUAAAUUUAUAUUUAUCAAAUUCAAACACUGAUAAAUAAAUGAUAUUUUUUUUUUACAAAGUCGACACUGACAUACAAACGGAAAAGAUAAACAAGUGAUAUCUGAUUUCUUCAUUGUUCUAAAGGUGUGUUUAUGAGUUUAGUUUUGGAGAGAAGCUCUUUCUUAUUUGUGAGAUUUAAAAAAAAAAAGACGUUUAAGUAUCAAAAUCUUCUUGUGGUUAUAUUUUUUAGUUCCUUAAAUUUGGAGGUUUUGGACUUACAAAUAAGGGAUCCAAAUGAGAAUCUAAAAAUCAAUCUGGGAAUUGGAUUCAAGUUAUCUUGGGUUCAUCAAGUAAAAAUUAAACGUUGUUAGCUUGAAUCUCGUGAUGAAUAAAAUUGAGUGUUCUUAAAUUUUUUUACUGCAGUAAGAACUUGAAUUCGAAGUUGAAAGAAGAAGAAGAAAAUAAAAGGAAAUUGAAAGGAAAAAAAUUCCAUUGAAAAGUAAAGAGCCGUGCUAUAUGGCUCAAAAAAAAAUACGGCCACAACUCAAAAAAAAAGUUAUGGCCAAUGAAUUUAUUUAAAACACAUCAAAUUUAUGUAUUUACCAUUCAUACCGUAGUUCAGUUAGUCACGUGAGACAUAGACGAACUUAGUCUCGUGCCAUAUAAUAUUUUCCAAAAGCAAAAAGUUACAAAGAAUUGGAAAAUUAACUCGCAUACAUGGUGUUGGAAACUUAAGUUCCACCAGCUAUCGACUCGAACCUAGCAUUUCAUCAAAAUUCCAUGCGAAGCAUUCUCUAAAUUCUUCGAGCAAACCGAUAAUUCUUUCUAAACUCCAAGUUAUUGAAAGAAUAUUUAUGUAAGUUCAUAUUUUCUUCGUCAAUCACCCACAUCAAUUUCUUCCAAAGGGUCUUCGACCUCCAUCUUUUUUAAUUGAUGGUGACGAUUUUUCAAACCCCUAAGGGCCAUCAUCAUAAAUACAAUGCAAUCGAGGCUCUUCCUUUUGAGUCUUUACAUACUCUACCAUAUUUUGGCAACUUUCUUCUAUAUCCUCUUUAGACCCAUCUUGCGAUUCAACGACGAGCUGAACCAAAAGGGGGUGUGGCGAUUGCUGUUGGUUUAAAUCCCUAGCACAAACACCUUUUUUAGUUACCUGAUUUUUCAUGAGUGUAAGAUGAGGACCAAAAUCACACAACCAUAAAAUCAUGAGGACCAAAACUCAACUUCAUUUUUGCUUUUUAAUGUUAUCUAUCUGUCACGUGGCGCGUGGGACUCACAGACCUAGAACAGCGAGUACGUCGAAAACACCGCACAAAAUUCGCAAGCCUUUCAGCUCAGAAAAAACGAAAUUUCCGGGAAAAUUUUAUCUCGAAUAUAAUAUAAUAAUAUAUAAUGGAAUAAAAAGAAAAUUCUCCAAUAUCCCUUUUUAGAUGAGAAAGAGGAAAAUGGAAGGAAAGAAAAUUGCUUGCGCUAUUUGAGAAAACAAGGGAUUAUUUUUUCGUUCCAUUCAAUUUCCGCUAGGGUUUCCAAAAUUUCCCAACAAUCAAUUUUCCUGCAAAGUUUUCUUCUUUUUGCGAUUUUGUGGUGUGGGUGUUGAACAAUAAUCGAUUUUGCUGCUUCUGGGAAGGAGUUUAUAGAGAGAGAGAGAGAGAGAGAGGGGAAAGGGGGGAAAAUUGUGAUGGCUGGUUCUUCUUCUUCAGCUACUGUCGCAGUAGAGAAGGCGACCAGCGAUCUUCUUAUGGGUCCUGAUUGGACCAUGAACAUCGAAAUUUGCGAUUCUAUCAAUUCUAAUCAUUGGUAAUCUUCAGUUGUAAGAAAAGGAGGAAGAUAGCAUAUCAAAUUUUAGACUUUUUUUGGUUUUAUUGCGUUGUUGACUUUGAUCAUCUACCACAUGCUUAUGCUUUUGAUUAUGAUGUUUAUGGGUUUUAUUAUGAGAUGAAAUUUGGGGCUAAAAAUUGCUAAUUUAGGAUUUUUUUUUGGAGGGGUUGGGGGAUUAGGUUAUCAUUUUUUUUGUGAAGAAUCAAUCAUCAAGAUGAUUGUAUUAUCUGGGAAUUCUUUUUAUUUUUUCUUAUAAUUAUGUGAAUUUCUUUUUCAUUUAUUAUUUUGGAUUCCCCUUAAUUUUCACAUGCCAAUUUUUGGUCUAGGGCAACAUUAAUUUCUUGUCUCUAAUUCCUCUUAGAAAACCAGGGUCCAUGGAUGAUAGUAAAAUCUAGUUUCUCAACUUGCUUCUUCUCCCUUUCCCUUUCUUUACUUCAUUAAAUUUGUCUUUGAGAAAAAAUAUAGUGAUUUUAACUAAAUCUUUGAUUUGAUGAUUACUGCAUGCUUAAUAUUUUCAGGCAGCCAAAAGAUGUGGUAAAAGCUGUGAAGAAGAGACUACAACAUAAGAGCUCUAAAGUUCAAUUACUAGCUCUCACGGAACUUUGUUGUUACUGGUCUUCGGUCUAACCUUAAUACUUUAAUUACUAACUCUAUUGUUUGUGGCUGUGCCCUGCAACUUUAAUACUUAAAUUUCAAAUUUGUUCGUUCGGAACUUGAUUUAUGAUUUCUGGUUCUCUACUCCUUAGCUUCUGGAGACAAUGGUGAAGAAUUGUGGUGAACGUGUGCACUUUCAAAUUGCUGAAAGGAACAUAUUGGGGGAGAUGAUCAAAAUCGUAAGGAAAAAGGUACGGCGGCUGUUACUUGAAAGUUUUACUGGAUUCUGUUUUAAUUUGCAGAUUUGAUGCUGGGAACAGAUUUUUUUGCAUUUUUCAUACAAAUUUUCUGUUAGAAACAAGCUAAGAACAUUAUAACAAAAAAUCUGUUAUGUGAUAUAUAGGGAGAAUCCGUGCUUGGGUAAAGGUUUUGUUACUGAUAUUAUUCAGUUAGGACAUUUUUUGAAAAAUAAUUAAUCAAGCCUGCAGUUUGAUUGAGCCGUCAAAUCUUCUCAUCCAUCAUCCCUCCUUGUGUGCUUAUCUAGAAUCAGUGAAUCCCUUACUGUUCUGCUAACCCUAAUUGGCCCUCAACUUUCAUUCUGAUAUCUGUAUAACAGUAAAUAAAAAACUUGAACCUCCAGAGAAACACAAAAUAUUCAAAAGAGCAUGUUAAUCAAUAUUCAUAUUGAAUAUUGGAUACCCACUUGCAAUCCUUCAAAUCUAGAAAUCAUUUUUGUUUCCCUCCACUGAACUAGCAUGCUGGGGACUUAUAUCAAAGUUCAACUCAAUCAUCAUGACUUAAUUUACUUUAUUAUGGCAUCUUAUGUUGUUGUCACUUGGUGCUUUAACUGCACCCUGUUGAAUUUAUAUUCAAAGUCAAGUUUGAUUCGCUGCUGUUGUACAUCAUUAAUGACCAGUACGUGGUAGACUUGUAGUUUCACCUGUGGAAAUUUUCCUUUGUCUGUGAUCCUAUUCAACCACUUUCUUCAUCAUUUUUGUAUAUCUUUAAAAUUCAGUCUCCUUCCACCUUAGCUAGGUUUCUGGAUCAUUGGCUCUAUACUAUCUGAAUAUUGAUGGUGGUAUUCCCUGCUCUAAACACAAUGCUACAAAUGUCAAGGUGAUACCUUAGGAUUUAUUAGUUAACCCAAAUAUGGAGGUAUUUACCCAUGAAAACAGUAUUAGUAUUGAUGCGCUUUGCAUAGUGUACUCUUUAUGCUCAAACAUUAUUUUGAGCUGACUAAAACUUCUCUGUUUUCGUGUUUUUUGCCUUAUCUAACUUAAAUUACAUGUGAUGAUAAUAUAGGCAGACAUGCACGUAAGGGAUAAAAUUUUACUACUGCUGGACUCAUGGCAAGAGGCUUUCGGAGGGCCUGGUGGAAAAUGUCCUCAGUACUAUUGGGCAUAUGAGGAAUUAAAGGUAAAUGUACAGCUGUCUACUGAAGAAAAUUUCUUGAUUGGCUUUUACCAGUGUCUCGAUAGCUGCAUGUGCAGAGUGGGAUGCCUGACUGUCAAAAUUUGUCGAUUGACAUUUGUGGAUAUUUUGUGUAAUGAUACCCUUUGUUUCAUUUAAGGGUGAUAUUUCACUUUUGAUAAUUUUAACGGAUUUUUUGGUUCAAAUGAGGGGAAGGUAAAUAAAAAGGACAACUUUUAUCAAGUUCCUUUUGUCCAUUUCAUCAAGCUCUCUGAGCAUAUAAACAACUUAUUCUUAAUUAAUGUCAUUUUAUUGUUAGGAAAAAAAAUAUCCACGUGUUAUUGUUUGAAUGGAAAACUUGAUGAUAAGAAUACAAGAAACUUGAUCUAAGUUUUCUCCAAAUCAAAAUCUCUUGUUUUGUUUGGUUGAAGGGGAGGGAAAGUAACCCUCCAAUUGUUUGGUCUGCAAUGUAGGUGAGUGAAAACCACCCUUCAUAUUCCCUCCCCGUUAGAUCAUACAGCCAAUUUACUGUGUUGCAUUUGAUAAAUGGCAGCGAUCUGGAGUUGUUUUUCCAAAGCGUACACCAGAUGCAGCUCCGAUAUUUACUCCUCCUCCUACCCAUCUAACUGCAAGGCAUAUGCAACCUGGAUACGGAAUGCCUAGCAGUUCAUCAAAAACACUUGAUGAAACAAUGGCAACAGAGAUAGAAAGUUUAAGGUGAAUAUUUUUUGUCUGCUCACCCUUGCUUCUGCUGCUGUCCUUCAUGUCAUUGGACUUCUGGGUGCUGCAACUUCGUCUUUUGGCUAAUUUUUUCUUGAAUCUGUUAGUUUCUCGAGCUUGGAAUCUAUGCAGCAAGUGUUGGACCUUUUGAGUGAUAUGCUACAGGCUGUGAAUCCUAAUGACCGUGAGGUAUGCGAAACAGUGUUUUGCUCGGCUUUCCUGAAUCCUCUGUGCAACUAAGUAAGUUUACCUUAAGUUUUUGCUUUUUAUGCUUUCUAGGCUGUCAAGGAUGAAGUCAUUAUUGAUCUUGUUGAUCGCUGUCGGACCAACCAGAAAAAAUUGAUGCAGAUGCUAACAACAACUGGGUUAGUUUCACUCAACCAGUUAAAGCAUGUGAUCCACUUCAAAAUAUACUUUUAAGUCUAUUUGUCCAUAUGAUAUGUGGAAUAAUCCUUGUUAUCAUCUUGGUUAUGUCUUAGUGAUGAGGAGCUUCUUGGGCGAGGCCUUGAGUUGAAUGAUACUAUCCAAAGUUUGCUUGCAAGGCAUGAUGCAAUUGUAUCCGGUACUCCUUUUCCAUUUCAAGGUGCAAGUUCCAGUACUCUGUCUUCUGAAGUUGACUAUAGUGCCAAUCAAACUCAAGUGAAGAGCUCCAGCCCUGUAGAGUCUGUUUCAACACCUAAUUCUAAAGCUAGCUCUUCAGCCCUAGUCAUUGCUGAUACAAGGGGCCUGAGUGAUGAAGAGGACGAAGAUGAAUUUGCACAGCUAGCUCGAAGGUCACUCUGAACUGAAAAUAUUUCAUAAAUUUAUAUUUCAAGCUCAAGAUCAUGCAACUACUUUUUUUUUCCCAUUGAACUAGCCAUGUGAAAUUAAGAAGCAUAACAACAAAAAAUACAACUAGCUUAUAAUGUCUUCUUCAUGCCUUAUUGCACUUAGGUCUUUACAUGUCCAAGUGAAUAAUCAUCUGUUUUCAUUCAACUGAGAUAGGACUCAUUGCAUGAAGUGUUUCUUUUCAUUUUUCAUAUUUAUUCUAUAUGCCAUUUCAUUCUGUCCUAUUUUGCGAGCUUAAGCCUGUAAAUCAUUUUCUAUCUUCGAAGAAUUUCCUGUAAAUUUGUACAUGCAACAUGCAUUGCUGGUCAGGUCACGGGUAAUGAGUUGCUUGUUCUAUUGCUUCAGUAAUUUUUUAAUCAAUGUUAUUUAGUAAGAACUCUUUAGUCUUUACUCUGAAUACAGGCAUUCCAAGAUGCAGUCAGUGACUUCUAAAGAUGCUACCGGUGGCUCUGCCCUCGAAUGCAUUAGCUCUUCCCGCCCCACCUGCACCAGUUAGUACUUCAAAAGAUCAGGACAUUAUUGACUUACUGAGUCUCACUUUGUCCCUGGCACCGUCUUCUCCGCAGCAGACAACUUACACGCCAUCAGCCUCUAGCCAAGGCAUGCAUCAGAUACCUGCUCCAUCCGGAACCGGAACAGAAGGUUAUUCUUAUGCUCCCCAAACAUAUCCUGGAAGUUUGCCAUUCGACAGUUACGUUGUCCCAUGGGCCCAACCCCAACCUCAAUCUCAAUCCCAACCCGCAACCCCACCCUCACAUCAACAUUUGCAUACACCUUUUGAAUCUGAACAAGCUUUGCAACAUCAACAAACCCAACCGUCACAGGCUCAGCACCAGUCACAGCUAUUACAAUCACAGCACCAACCACAAUCCCCUCAAGCAUUGCAACCACAGCCUCAUUCACAAUUUCAGAAUCAGCAUAUUCAGUAUAACCCUCCUCAACAAAUGCAACUUCAUAAUGAACCCCAACCAUUGCAGUAUCAGCCCCAGCCACAUUUACAGCACCAGCCUCAACAUCAUCCGCAUUUUCAGCCUCACCCCCAACCACAGCUACAGUCUCAGCCCCAACCCCAACACAUUCAGCAAUCUCAACCACAACCUCAGUCCCAACCCCAACACAUUCAGCAACCUCAACCACAACCUCAGCUCCAACACAUUCAACAAUCUCAACCACAACCGCAAUUUCAGAAUCAACAUUUUCAGUACCCUGGAACAUAUCCUCCCCCACCAUGGGCUGCUACUCCCGGAUAUCCCAAUUAUCAAAACCACUUAUCUUCAACAAAUGCGUUGUCAACUCCUCAAGCCAACACACCUUACACAUCUGCU